GAUGAAGAACGCAGCGAAAUGCGAUAAGUAAUGUGAAUUGCAGAAUUCCGUGAAUCAUCGAGUCUUUGAACGCACAUUGCGCCCCCUGGUAUUCCGGGGGGCAUGCCUGUCCGAGCGUCAUUGCCGCCCUCAAGCACGGCUUGUGUGUUGGGCCCCCGCCCCCCGGCUUCGGGGGGCGGGCCCGAAAGGCAGCGGCGGCACCGCGUCCGGUCCUCGAGCGUAUGGGGCUUCGUCACCCGCUCUGUAGGCCCGGCCGGCGCCCGCCGGCGACCCCAAUCAAUCUUUCCAGGUUGACCUCGGAUCAGGUAGGGAUACCCGCUGAACUUAAGCAUAUCAAUAAGCGGAGGA
rnacentral:misc_RNA from 1 species